ensembl:lncRNA
AACAAACUCAACUCAAUAGAAUCGCAUCCUACUUGUAGCGUAGAUGGGAGGCCCCCAUCUGGCCUCCGUGCUCUGCUCGACUGAUGUGAACCAGCUGGGCCUGGAAUGUUUGGCUCACACAACUUCCACCCGUGAAGCAACGCGCGGCCGGUAACCAGUGACUGCUGCUGUUGCAGAGGAGCACAAAUCGCCCCACCAGUGGUAGUCCGCAAAUGGGUCGCCUUGUUGGAGCUCAGGUGUUGGUUGAUAGCGACUCUACCUCCUCUGUGGGUUCCCCCCCCCCGACAUGGUGGAACUGCUCGCCGGCCCCCUCCUCUGGGGCUGAUAUGUGUGUUGAGGGGCCGUGUUAUCUCUCUUUAGGAUUAAAACAUCAGUGCACAAGCUAUUAGUCGCUGGAUGAUUAUCUAAAUAUAGCUCCCCUUCUGUACACCUCCAUCCCCUUUCAUUUUCUUGCUGGCUCUACGUUCUAACCCCCCCCGUUAAUGGCUCCUCUUGCCUUCACUCAUGUAUGUGUGCAAGCAUCCAUGUGGACAUCUGCAGUUUUAAUGCCCUAUAGGCAGAAAAGAAAUUGUGCUAUUUGUCGGCUGUUAUGUGCCAUCAUUCUUUAAAGCACACAUUGCACAGUGAGGAAAAAGGAGGGGGGGGGGUGCUGGACGCAAGACCAGAAAAGUACUUUCUUUGGUGCCCUGAAGUAUCCCACGCCAAACCUGCCUCCCCUUUUUUUUUAAUUGUAAAAGGGGAAGGGAAGUGUAUUCGGGCAGGAGAAGCAAUGAAGUCAAAAGUGGCACGAGUGUAACCAGAUGGUUGAUCGCUGUGCCGCUCCCCCACCUCGCUCUGCCCCCCCCUCUCCCCGGGUCGCUCCUUUGGCAAACGCACAGAGACCGAGUCGUCUAGGGUCUGGUCACUGGAUCUCUUUCACAUGCGUGUUAAGUCAGUGCCUGAGCUUUGUUGGAGGAGACGCCCGCUGCCAAGUCCUCCGACUGUGAGCCUGCUCCGGCACGACAUGGCCCCCGAGCGCCGGAGCAGACCAGACUCACCCCCGUUCCCCCCCCCCCCCC